rnacentral:tRNA from 1 species
CGGGGCGUAGCGCAGUCCGGUAGCGCGCCUGCUUUGGGAGCAGGAGGUCGUCCGUUCGAAUCGGACCGCCCCGA